rnacentral:tRNA from 1 species
GCCGGGGUGGCGGAGUGGUUAUCGCGCUGGCCUCGAGAUCUGAUAAAGAAAGGGGGCUUAGAAUUAGCGGACAAGGUAGCCAGUGGGCCUUCUGGCUCGCAGGGGUUCGAGUCCCUUCCCCGGCG